GCGUCUGCCAAGGAUGUUUUUCAUUGAUCAAGAACGAAAGUAAGGGAUCGAAGACGAUCAGAUACCGUCGUAGUCUUUACUAUAAACGAUGAGGACUGGGGAUCGGGCGAGGAAUUACGAUGACCCGCCCGGCACCUUUCGAGAAAUCAAAGUGUUUGCUUUCUGGGGGGAGUAUGGUCGCAAGGCUGAAACUUAAAGGAAUUGACGGAAGGGCAUCACCGGGUGUGGAGCCUGCGGCUUAAUUUGACUCAACACGGGAAAACUUACCAGGUCAGGACAUAGUGAGGAUUGACAGAUUGAGAGCUCUUUCUUGAUUCUAUGGUUGGUGGUGCAUGGCCGUUCUUAGUUGGUGGAGUGAUUUGUCUGGUUAAUUCCGUUAACGAGCGAGACCUGGGCGUGCUAACUAGGGGCUACUACCAUUUUGGUAGUACGCUUACCCUUCUUAGACGGACUGUGGGCGUCUAGCCCACGGAAGCUCCAGGCAAUAACAGGUCUGAGAUGCCCUUAGAUGUUCUGGGCCGCACGCGUGCUACACUGAGUGGAUCAGCGGGUCAGGUUGCGCGAAAGUGUUUCCUAAUCUUUAAAUCCGCUCGUGAUGGGGAUUGACGGUUGCAAUUUUCCGUCAUGAACGAGGAAUACCUUGUAAGCGCGGGUCAUCACCCCGCGCUGAAUACGUCCCUGCCCUUUGUACACACCGCCCGUCGCUCCUACCGAUUGAGUGGUCCGGUGAGGCUCUGGGAUCUGGGCGGAAAGAGCGUCUCGCUGUUUCUGCCCGGAAAACUUAGUCGAACCUUAUCAUUUAGAGGAAGGAGAAGUCGUAACAAGGUUUCC
rnacentral:rRNA from 1 species